AUUAAACGCUGGCGGCAUGCCUUACACAUGCAAGUCGAACGGCAGCACGGGGGCAACCCUGGUGGCGAGUGGCGGACGGGUGAGUAAAGCAUCGGAACGUAUCCUGGAGUGGGGGAUAACGUAGCGAAAGUUACGCUAAUACCGCAUAUUCUGUGAGCAGGAAAGCAGGGGACCGUAAGGCCUCGCGCUACUGGAGCGGCCGAUAUCAGAUUAGGUUGUUGGUGGGGUAAAGGCCUACCAAGCCUGCGAUCUGUAGCUGGUCUGAGAGGACGACCAGCCACACUGGGACUGAGACACGGCCCAGACUCCUACGGGAGGCAGCAGUGGGGAAUAUUGGACAAUGGGCGCAAGCCUGAUCCAGCAAUGCCGCGUGUGUGAAGAAGGCCUGCGGGUUGUAAAGCACUUUCAGUGGGGAAGAACAGGCCUGGGCGUAAUACCCACGUGUCUGACGUUACCACAGAAGAAGCACCGGCUAACU
rnacentral:rRNA from 1 species